rnacentral:lncRNA from 1 species
UUUUAAAAGCUCCUUUAUGUUCUCAUCUUCUGAGAACAGAUGAUAGGCAGCAAGAAGACAGAAACGUGGCAUAAAGGAUGAUCCAAGGCAAGAAAGGGGUCUAGUAAGCAAGGUCAGGAGGCCUAAAGAAAUUACUGUAACCAUGCUAAGAACAAGAUGGUGCUUCUGGCUGGGAAAAGGUACUAGCUGCUCACAUUAGAUGGUCCUUCAGCUUUCCAGGAGCUCGCUCUUUGGGGCCAUUGCUAUUAAAGCUAGGUUGGAGUCAUGGAGCAGAGCAUACAGGCAUCAUCAACCAGUAACCUCUCCAGCUCUGUGGAUGAGUGAACAAAAGCUGGUAAUGAGAUUAGGAUGCUUUUUUUUUUUUUUUUUUUUAGAUGGAGUCUUGCUCUGUCGCCAGGUUGGAGUGCAAUGGCGCAAUCUUGGCUCACUGCAACCUGCACCUCCAGGUUCAAGUGAUUCUGCUGCCUCAGCCUCCCAAGUAGCUAGGACUACAGAUGUGUGCCACCAUGCCCAGCUAAUUUUUGUAUUUUUAGCAGAGACGGGGUUUCACCAUGUUGGCCAGGAUGGUCUUGAUCUCUUGACCUCAUGAUCCACCCGCCUUGGCCUCCCAAAGUGCUAGGAUUAUAGGCGUGAGCCACUGUGCCUGGCCAAGAUUAGGAUGUCUUUUACAAGAGUUUAGGUAUAACUGACUGGCUAUAGGCUGGCAUGAGCCCAUAACUAGGCUAGUAAGUGGCAAAUAAGAGAACAGCAAAGUUUCCAUAAUCUGCCCCUUCUUUCUUCCCUUGGCUCUCCCUUCUUACUUCCCCACAGUGACCAUGAGGGUGGCAAUGUAAGUGCCCAUACCAGCCAUUUGGUGGGCAGUGCCCUUUCCGACCCUUACCUGUCCUUUGCAGCAGCCAUGAACGGGCUGGCAGGGCCUCUCCAUGGACUGGCAAAUCAGGAAGUGCUUGUCUGGCUAACACAGCUGCAGAAGGAAGUUGGCAAAGAUGUGUCAGAUGAGAAGUUACGAGACUACAUCUGGAACACACUCAACUCAGGACGGGUAAGCAGAGAUGCUUAACGACUAGGAAAGAAACCAAGACACAAGUUCUGCAAUUUGGAAGAAUUAAGAAAAGAAUGAAAGAGGUCCCUAAAUUAGAGAUUUUUUUUUCUUCAUUUAUCUACCUUGAAGAAUUUAGAAAAGAAUUUCUAGGUGGGCACAAUGGCAUGCACCUGUAGUCCCACCUACUUGGGAGGCUGAGGCAAGAGGAUUGCUUGAGGCCAGGAGUUUAAGGCUGCAGUGUGCUAAGAUCACUCCUGUGAAUAGCCACUACACUCCAGCCAGGACAACACAGCAAGACCCCAUUCUCUAAAAAACAGUUUUAAAUAGGUUGAGUGUGGUGGCUCACGCUUAUAAUCUUAGCACUUUGGGAGUCCAGGGUGGAUGGAUCUCGUGAGCCCAGGAGUUUGAGACCAGCCUGAGCAACACAGACCCUAUCUUUUUUUUUUUUUUUUUUUUAAAGACAGUCUUGCUCUUGUUGCCCAGGCUAGAAUGCAGUGGCGCAACCUCAGUUCACUGCAACCUCCGCCUCUCGGGUUCAAGUGAUUCUCCUGCCUCAUCCUCUCGAGUAGCUGGGAUUACAGGCAUGCGCCACCAUGCCCGGCUAAUUUUGUAUUUUUAGUAGAGACGGGGUUUCUCCGAGUUGGUCAGUUGGUCAGGCUAGUCUAGGACUCCCAACCUCAGGUGAUCUGCCCACCUCAGCCUCCCAAAGUGCUGGGAUUACAGGCAUGAGCCACCGCACACGGCCAGACCCCAUCUUUACC